rnacentral:tRNA from 1 species
AGGGAUAUAGCUCAGUGGUAGAACACUUGCCUGACAAGCAUGAGGCUCUGGGUUUGAUCCCAGCACUG